rnacentral:tRNA from 1 species
GGAUUGUGGCUCAGUGGUAGAGCGCUUGCUUUGCAUGUGUAAGGCACUGGGUUCAAUCCUCAGCACCA